UGCAACUUUAAAAAUAGAUGAUUUGAAUUGUUGAAGUUCGAAGUGGCGUGGAGCCCACAACGAAUCCCCAUUUUUAAAAUAAAAAAAUGGAGGCUCCCCAUCUUAAGAUCAUAUCCAAUGGAGAUAUCAAAAGAUAAAUGUCAAAUAUUAGUUUGUGGCUAAUGUGACAAUGUGCAAAUUUUCUCUUCCUCCAACUCAUAUGUUUUUUUUGUUAUAAAUGAUAUUUGUAUGAUCAAAUUUUAAAAAGAAAUUAAUUCAAAUAAAAUUUUAAGAUUUAUAAUUGGUACAUUAAUGAGGUCUACACAAUAAAAUAAUUAAAAAAUUAUUUGACAUCACUUUUUUUUAUAUGUCAAAUUUGACAUUUGAAAAUUCAUAUGUCAAUCCACAUAGGAUUGACAUAUCAGUUGUAGUUUAUUCUUACAUUCAAAUUUGAUUACAUGAUAUUUCACUUAAGAUUUGACAUCUCAUUUGGAGAUGGUCUAAAGGUUUUAAAACCCAGAAGGGGCGUUGAGGGAAAGCGAAAUGUGCAGUCCCACAUGAUCCUAAAUUUGAAGGAGCCCCUAAAUUUUUGUCAUCUAACAUCAUGUAAUAAUAUUCUAUAUUUAAAAAAGUUGUUUUUGUUAGCACUUUAAACUGCAAUGUGCACUCCUUAUAAAAGUUUUUUUUUUUUCUAAAUAUAAAAACUUGGAGUACAAUGAGAUAUUUUGAAUGUCAAUAAUAACAUCCUGAAAAGCAACAUUUUCUUAAUUUUAUAACAUAACAAUGUCAUAUAUUCAAGUGAACUUUAAAGUUAGAGGUCUGAUGUUUUUUUUCUUCAUGUUUGGCUGUUUAAGAUAAAAUUGCUUUUGAUUAUUUAGUGAAGGUUAUGUUUGUAGCUCUUUUUACUUAUCAUUGAGGACAUUUGUAAACAUGCAAUCAGUGAGUGUUAAAUUGUUUUAAUUUUUUUUUAAACAAACGAUAUUAUCUACGCAAAGAGGGUGGGAGAGUAGGCUAAGCCUCACUAUCGACUAACAAUAAUGUGGUUCAAAUUCAUCUUUAAUAAGAACCUCUCACUUACAAGUGAAGAGGAAUACUACUAGACUGUAGUACUAACUGAUUUUGUUUUGAUUUAAAUGAAUGUUUUUUAGUAUCAAUACAUUGUCAUACUUUUUUAAAACUUAAAACUAUAUUAAAGAGGAUCC
rnacentral:lncRNA from 1 species